UACAGAGGGGGCAAGCGUUGUUCGGAAUUACUGGGCGUAAAGGGCGCGUAGGCGCCUUCUAAGUCGAACGUGAAAUCCCCGGGCUCAACCCGGGAACUGCGUCCGAGACUGGAAGGCUUGAAUCCGGGAGAGGGAUGUGGAAUUCCAGGUGUAGCGGUGAAAUGCGUAGAUAUCUGGAGGAACACCGGUGGCGAAGGCGGCGACUCG
rnacentral:rRNA from 1 species